UAACAAGGAUUCCCCUAGUAACUGCGAGUGAAGCGGGAAAAGCUCAAAUUUAAAAUCUGGCGGCUUUGCCGUCCGAGUUGUAAUCUGGAGAAGCGUUUUCCGCGUCGGACCGUGUACAAGUCUCUUGGAACAGAGCGUCAUAGAGGGUGAGAAUCCCGUCCAUGACACGGACCACCGAUGCUUUGUGAUACGCUCUCGAAGAGUCGAGUUGUUUGGGAAUGCAGCUCAAAAUGGGUGGUAAAUUCCAUCUAAAGCUAAAUAUUGGCGAGAGACCGAUAGCGAACAAGUACCGUGAGGGAAAGAUGAAAAGCACUUUGGAAAGAGAGUUAAACAGUACGUGAAAUUGUUGAAAGGGAAACGCUUGAAGUCAGUCGCGUCUUGCAGGACUCAGCCUUGCUUUUCUUUGCAUUGCGUACUUCCUGUAGGACGGGUCAACAUCGAUUUUGGUUGACGGACAAAGGGGGAUGGGAAUGUGGCAGUCUUCGGGCUGUGUUUAUAGCCCUCUUCCGUAUACGUCGACUGGGAUCGAGGACCGCAGCGUGCGUUUUUUUAUUAUUUUAAAAAUAAUGUUGCGCUUAGGAUGUUGGCAUAAUGGCUUUAAGCGACCCGUCUUGAAACACGGACCAAGGAGUCUAACAUGCUUGCGAGUGUUAGGGUGGAAAACCCUUGCGCGUAAUGAAAGUGAAAGUUGAGAGCCUCCGCAAGGGGGUGCACCGACGCCCGGCCCUGAAGUUCACUGACGGUGCUGCGGUAGAGCACGUAUGUUGGGACCCGAAAGAUGGUGAACUAUGCCUGAAUAGGGCGAAGCCAGAGGAAACUCUGGUGGAGGCUCGUAGCGAUUCUGACGUGCAAAUCGAUCGUCAAAUUUGGG
rnacentral:rRNA from 1 species